ensembl:snRNA U6 U6 spliceosomal RNA
GCUCACUUCAGCAGCACAUAUACUAAAAUUGGAGCAAUACAGAGAUUACACGGCCCCUGUGCAAGGAUGACACAAAUUCGUGAAGCAUUCCAUAUAAAA